rnacentral:ncRNA from 19 species
GCGCGUCGUCGCGACUGGCGCAAAGGUGGUCACCACCGGGGAGCGGCGGCGCCGCGCCGGAUCGCCCGGGGCGGCCAUCACGAACCUGGUCGCCCGCCUGGGCCGAGGUC